ACACGACUACAUUAGAUACCCGCGUAGUCCUAGCCGUAAACGAUACUCGCUAGGUGUCGGCCACGGUGCGACCGUUGUCGGUGCCGUAGGGAAGCCGUGAAGCGAGCCACCUGGGAAGUACGGCCGCAAGGCUGAAACUUAAGGAAUUGGCGGGGGAGCACAACAACGGGUGGAGCUUGCGGUUUAAUUGGAUUCAACGCCGGAAAUCUUACCGGGACCGACAGCAACAUGAAGGCCAAGCUGAAGACUUUGCCGGAUUAGCUG
rnacentral:rRNA from 1 species